AUUGAACGCUGGCGGCAGGCCUAACACAUGCAAGUCGAGCGGUAGCACAGAGAGCUUGCUCUCGGGUGACGAGCGGCGGACGGGUGGGUAAUGUCUGGGAAACUGCCUGAUGGAGGGGGAUAACUACUGGAAACGGUAGCUAAUACCGCAUAACGUCGCAAGACCAAAGAGGGGGACCUUCGGGCCUCUUGCCAUCAGAUGUGCCCAGAUGGGAUUAGCUAGUAGGUGGGGUAACGGCUCACCUAGGCGACGAUCCCUAGCUGGUCUGAGAGGAUGACCAGCAACACUGGAACUGAGACACGGUCCAGACUCCUACGGGAGGCAGCAGUGGGGAAUAUUGCACAAUGGGCGCAAGCCUGAUGCAGCCAUGCCGCGUGUAUGAAGAAGGCCUUCGGGUUGUAAAGUACUUUCAGCGGGGAGGAAGGUGUUGAGGUUGAUAACCUCAGCAAUUGACGUUACCCGCAGAAGAAGCACCGGCUAACUCCGUGCCAGCAGCCGCCGCAA
rnacentral:rRNA from 1 species